rnacentral:rRNA from 1 species
GACGAACGCUGGCGGCGUGCUUAACACAUGCAAGUCGAACGGUGAAGCGCCUUCCUUUUUGGUGGGUGUGGAUGAGUGGCGAACGGGUGAGUAACACGUGAGUAACCUGCCCCCUUCUUCUGGAUAACCGCAUGAAAGUGUGGCUAAUACGGGAUAUUCUGGGUCUGUCGCAUGAUGGGUCUGGGAAAGAUAUUGUUUCGGUGGGGGAUGGGCUCGCGGCCUAUCAGCUUGUUGGUGGGGUGAUGGCCUACCAAGGCGGUGACUGGUAGCCGGCCUGAGAGGGUGGACGGUCACACUGGGACUGAGACACGGCCCAGACUCCUACGGGAGGCAGCAGUGGGGAAUAUUGCACAAUGGGCGCAAGCCUGAUGCAGCGACGCCGCGUGAGGGAUGGAGGCCUUCGGGUUGUGAACCUCUUUCGCCAGUGAAGCAGGCCUGCCUCGUUUGUGGGUGGGUUGACGGUAGCUGGAUAAGAAGCGCCGGCUAACUACGUG